UACGGAGGGGGCUAGCGUUAUUCGGAAUUACUGGGCGUAAAGCGUGCGCAGGCGGUGAUGUAAGACAGUUGUGAAAUCCCCGGGCUCAACCUGGGAAUUGCAUCUGUGACUGCAUCGCUAGAGUACGGUAGAGGGGGAUGGAAUUCCGCGUGUAGCAGUGAAAUGCGUAGAUAUGCGGAGGAACACCGAUGGCGAAGGCAAUCCCCUGGACCUGUACUGACGCUCAUGCACGAAAGCGUGGGGAGCAAACAGG
rnacentral:rRNA from 1 species